GCACAAGCUUUCCUAUUUCUGGGAAACCUUUAUAAUUUCGGCUGUGACUCAUCAGGACGCGUCCGAUUGGUCAACAGCCAAAGUGGGCGUGGCUAAAGAUCACUGUAACACUCUACCCGAGUUUUACCCGACCAUAGAUGUCAUUUUCCUUCACGAUCACUGGUCGUGUGUAGACACAUCAGCGAGAUGACAAGGAAACACCGUAAUUAUAAGAGGAUGUCGUCGAUAGUACGCAGAGCCACCAGUUCUACAGUUAAAAAUCCCAGCGUGGCUGCUCUUGGCCUGGGGCUGAUAACUCUGCUCGUGAUUAUAAAGCUUCUAUAGCAGACGAAGGACGGGCGCUUUUUCCUAUGCAAAGUUCCCACGAUCACCGUCGACCCCACUCCUGUUCAUGGCUGUUGAAGAAAAGCCACGAGAGCAGACAAACACCUGCCCUGGAGCCCAGAGUCACCGCGGGACUUAUAGCUUAUAGUCGGGCCCGCAAAGCGACUGGACGACGGAGUUUCACAGCCUGUCCUACACAACGCACUCCCCCCC